AAAUAAAGGAAGAAUAUAGACAUGGCUCCAUUGCAAGUUCAUUUUCAAGUUGAUACAGUGGACCUGAACAAACUGAAAGACGAUGAGAAAGACCUGGCACAUCAGAGACUAGCCACCAUUGCUCAGUGUAAAAAUGAAAUUUACUGACAAUUAGAAAGAAUUAAUACGGUAUGGGGAAGGUAGCUUGAUUUCCCGCGAACGGAAGUUUCCUAUCCCUGUAACUCUAAUAUCUAUGCUUGUUCUCAAGAUGCUCGUAAAUGCAUCAGUUUAAUUACAGCUGAAGGGGCUGUCAUUGGAAGCUCUUCGCUUGCUCCUCUCUAGUCUUGUCUUGCAUCAUGGCGGAUUUUGAUGACAACCCAUUUGCUGAUCCAGGCAAUAUCAACCCUUUUGCUGAUCCUUCAGUCAAACAGCAGACCAGUGAUGUCCCAGCUGUUGAUGAUUACAAUCCAUUCGCUGAAGAGGUUUCUAAAGACCCUACGAUAAGUGGUACUGGAGGCAUG